UUUCCGUAGGUGAACCUGCGGAAGGAUCAUUCAUAAUAAGUGUUUUAUGGCACUUUUUUAAAUCCAUAUCCACCUUGUGUGCAAUGUCAGGGUUGAUUUUUCUCUCGAGAGGAUCAACCCCAAACAUCAACUAUAUCUAAACUCUUUGUCUGAAAAAUAUUAUGAAUAAAUCAAUUCAAAAUACAACUUUCAACAACGGAUCUCUUGGCUCUC
rnacentral:misc_RNA from 1 species